AGUCAAUAGAUACCCCGGUAGUCCACGCCGUAAACGAUGAGUACUAGGUGUAGGAGGUAUCGACUCCUUCUGUGCCGCAGUUAAACACAAUAAGUACUCCGCCUGGGAAGUACGGUCGCAAGAUUAAAACUCAAAGGAAUUGACGGGGGCCCGCACAAGCAGCGGAGCAUGUGGUUUAAUUCGAAGCAACGCGAAGAACCUUACCUAGACUUGACAUCCCCUGAAUAACGUAGAGAUACGCGAAGCCCUUCGGGGCAGGGAGACAGGUGGUGCAUGGUUGUCGUCAGCUCGUGUCGUGAGAUGUUGGGUUAAGUCCCGCAACGAGCGCAACCCUUAUCAUUAGUUGCUACCAUUUAGUUGAGCACUCUAGUGAGACUGCCCGGGUUAACCGGGAGGAAGGCGGGGAUGACGUCAAAUCAUCAUGCCCCUUAUGUCUAGGGCUACACACGUGCUACAAUGGUGAGAACAACGAGAUGCAAUACCGCGAGGUGGAGCAAAACUUCAAAACUCAUCUCAGUUCGGAUUGUAGGCUGAAACUC
rnacentral:rRNA from 1 species